rnacentral:lncRNA from 1 species
AUGGUGAUGGAGAUGAUGAUGAGUACUUUUUAUCCUUCAUGAUCGGCUGUCUCGGUCGAUCUUUUAUGCCACAUGCUUCCCAUCUUUAAACCUAUAUGCAAGUGAUAUUAAUGAAAACCUAGCAGUGGCCGGUAAGGUGGUAACCUUGUACCAUGUCAGUAGAAUAAACUAGCAGAGACAGCAGUGGUGCAAAUUGCAGUAGAGGAGGUGGUCAUAGUGGGGAGAUGGAAAGAUACCUAUGCAUUUUUAGUUUUCCCAAAGUUGAUCUAUUUGUGUGAUAUUGAUUUUUGAAUACUAAAACUUUAUAGUAAUAAAUUAAAUCAUGUUGUUGUGCCACCCAUGUCAUCCUACUUUUCUUCAUAUAUAUUAAGUUUAUGAAAGAUAAAUAGUUGACGAAGUGUUAUAAAUAAAAGAGUUCAAAUACAAGGGCAUAACUCUAUGUAGACACAAGAAUCCAUAUCGAUUAUAAUCAUCGCAAGUAGUUUAUAUAUUUAUAUGUCAAUAAAGGAACAAUAAUUUAACGUUGUUCAACUCCUUAUCUUUUCUACGUCAAUACCUAUUAUAUUUGCAGUGCCCCUUGCAAUUUAAUUACAUCCGGUAAAC